GACGAACGCUGGCGGCGUGCUUAACACAUGCAAGUCGAGCGGUAAGGCCCUUUCGGGGGUACACGAGCGGCGAACGGGUGAGUAACACGUGGGUGACCUGCCCUCAGCUCUGGGAUAAGCUUGGGAAACCGGGUCUAAUACUGGAUAUGACUCCAUGACGCAUGUUGUGGGGUGGAAAGCCUUGUGCGGCUGAGGAUGGGCCCGCGGCCUAUCAGCUUGUUGGUGGGGUGAUGGCCUACCAAGGCGACGACGGGUAGCCGGCCUGAGAGGGCGACCGGCCACACUGGGACUGAGACACGGCCCAGACUCCUACGGGAGGCAGCAGUGGGGAAUCUUGCGCAAUGGGCGAAAGCCUGACGCAGCGACGCCGCGUGAGGGAUGACGGCCU
rnacentral:rRNA from 1 species